AAUGGGGAUAGAAUUUGUGUAGAGAGUUUAAAAAAGCCCUGGAGGUGGACGGUGCACGCUGGACAACAAUGUGAACGUAUUUAAUACCACUGAAUUAUACACUUAAUAUAAAAUUUACCACUUAACCAUUUGUGAGUAUAUUUUACCACAAGAAGAAAAAAAGUAUCUUAAAGUCCUCCCCCACAGUCAGAAAAUUUUCUUAAAUCACCUACAUACACACAAAUUAACAACAAAGGAAAUGCUGAUGAAGUUGAGCACAUUAAGAACUCCUGUUCAUCAAAAUAAGGUAUUUGUAAAGCACUCUGAGCAUUGCCUGGCACAGAGUAGCACCACAUAAAUGUUUAAAACAAAAGGCUAACAUCAAAAGAUACCGGAGGCUGAGAAAACGGCGGCGGAAGACAUUUUGAACCCGUAACUAUUAAGGGACUUGCGGCUAACAUUUACGAGGAAAACAAGUCACUACGAAAAAUACAGAAAACUUCAGAAGGUUAGGAAAACUUCAACAGCCACUCGAAGACAGAACAACUCCAAACGGCGGAUGAAACGGACGCUGCCCGACGUCGCCAGCACGUGGGGAAACGCGGCCUCGGCCACGUGUCCACCUGGUGUCUGGGCCGCGACGAACCGGACCCGCUGGCAGAGACGCCUCGGCCGCCCAGGGCUCCCGAGUAUUGCGCAGAUGAACUUGAGCCCGCGCACGCGAGGUUUCUGACCCCAAAUCAGAAACGUACAUGACCCAUCAGGGAGGAUUCCGGAAGAGGCAGGAAAGCGCCCGGCUCCGCACCGAGGCGCCAGUUUCGGAAGGCGGGUUUGCCGGAGGCUUGCAACUUCCAGGGGAAGGCUUGGAGGGUCAAAACUGACCGGUUCUGGGCGGUUUCGGCGCUUUGCACAGUAGCGGCUCCCUACCCCCCCACCCCCUGAUGCGGCCGCACGCGACGUACAGCGGUCCGGGUGGGCGAGAGGCACCCGUCCUCGGAACACCAGGGGUUCGUGUUCUGGUCGUCGCUUCUGAUCGCAGAGAGGCAGGCGGCUGUUAUUGUGGUACCUCCCCUCAGAGUCGCAAGCCUGUCCCCACUCCGGUUCAAGUGACUUCCAGGUGAUUCAAAGGGCCGGUGCCCUUUUGUUCCCUCUUCGUUUUUCACUUUUCCCCUUUCAGGAG